CAGUCGCCACGGUAAUGCGAAGGGGGCUAGCGUUGUCCGGAAUUAUUGGGCGUAAAGGGCUCGCAGGCGGUUUCUUAAGUCUGAUGUGAAAGCCCCCGGCUCAACCGGGGAGGGUCAUUGGAAACUGGGAAACUUGAGUGCAGAAGAGGAGAGUGGAAUUCCACGUGUAGCGGUGAAAUGCGUAGAGAUGUGGAGGAACACCAGUGGCGGAGGCGACUCUCUGGUCUGUAACUGACGCUGAGGAGCGAAAGCGUGGGGAGCGAACAGGAUUAGAUACCCCCGUAGUCCCUGUCUCUUAUAC
rnacentral:rRNA from 1 species